rnacentral:rRNA from 1 species
AGCAGCCGCGGUAAUUCCAGCUCCAAUAGCGUAUAUUAAAGUUGCUGCAGUUAAAAAGCUCGUAGUUGAAUUUCGGGACCAUCAUGUCGGUCGUGCCUCGGUACGUACUGGCAUUGUUGGUUUCUCCCUUCUGAAGAACCAUGAUGUCAUUAAUUUGGUGUCGUGGGGAAUCAGGACUGUUACUUUGAAAAAAUUAGAGUGUUUAAAGCAGGCGCACGCUUGAAUACAUUAGCAUGGAAUAAUGAAAUAGGACGUUUGAUUCUAUUUUGUUGGUUUCUAGGAUCGACGUAAUGAUUAAUAGGGAUAGUUGGGGGCAUUAGUAUUCAAUUGUCAGAGGUGAAAUUCUUGGAUUUUAUUGAAG